GACUGAGAGGAUGUGAUCUGAAGGUUACUGCACGUGUCAUUCUUUCCGUGCAAGCUGUUGGCCUCCAGUGACUGAACCAGCCAUCCCAGGUGAACAAAAACUUAAAAGAUGAGCAAGCCUUGGGCCAGGAGAAGCCAUAAGCAGAGGGUGGAGUGUGGUGAGAGCUGCUCCACACUCCUCCCUGCAGGCUGGCUUCCUCUGCUCGCUUACCAAGUCCUGAGGACCUUCUGACUUUAGAAUCCACCACCUUCAGACUGCCUCAGUCUUCCACAAGAGCUCAAAUUCUCAGAGAAAUCAUCUGAUUGGCUUAGCCUGAGUCAGGAGAGACCCAGCACCACAGCUGGAAGCCCCUCCGCCUCCUGGCGAGUUCCAAGACUCGGCCAAGCAUCACUUGGAGUUUCUGGUCCUCCUCUCUCGGGGUUUUCCUCUCGUGCAUUCUUGGUGUUUGCGUGACAGGUCCUGAAGGGUGGCGCCUGGGAAAAGGCUUAUUAGAUUUCUCCAGCAGGGAAUAGAGCCAGGAAGUUUAUUUGAAGAGGGAAGGAGGGGUGUGUGGGAAGGGAAAGUACAGCUGAACCAGUGGAGUGAAGUGCAUGAGCUCAGGUGCCCAGCCAAACCUGCGCUUAUCAAGUCGCCUGCCGGAGGCAAAAGGGAAAUAUAGAACCUGUCAACUCCUCUUUGAGCAUAAACACAGUGCGAGCUGAUGAUCCA